UAUGUUUUAGUAUUUUAUGUACAAAAAUUUUUGAUAUUUUAGGUAAUAGUUUAAUCUAUUAAACGUAA
rnacentral:tRNA from 1 species